rnacentral:rRNA from 1 species
GGGGCUCUAGCGGUAGUGGGCUUUGCCCGCUACCUCUUACCCAUGUCUUUUGAGUACUUACGUUUCCUCGGCGGGUCCGCCCGCCGAUUGGACAAAAUCAAACCCUUUGCAGUUGCAAUCAGCGUCUGAAAAACAUAAUAGUUACAACUUUCAACAACGGAUCUCUUGGUUCUGGCAUCGAUGAAGAACGCAGCGAAAUGCGAUAAGUAGUGUGAAUUGCAGAAUUCAGUGAAUCAUCGAAUCUUUGAACGCACAUUGCGCCCCUUGGUAUUCCAUGGGGCAUGCCUGUUCGAGCGUCAUUUGUACCUUCAAGCUUUGCUUGGUGUUGGGUGUUUGUCUCGCCUCUGCGUGUAGACUCGCCUUAAAACAAUUGGCAGCCGGCGUAUUGAUUUCGGAGCGCAGUACAUCUCGCGCUUUGCACUCAUAACGACGACGUCCAAAAGUACAUUUUUACACUCUUGACCUCGGAUCAGGUAGGGAUACCCGCUGAACUUAAGCAUAUCAAAAGCCGGGAGGA